GAUGAACGCUGGCGGCGUGCCUAAUACAUGCAAGUCGAGCGAACAGACGAGGAGCUUGCUCCUUUGACGUUAGCGGCGGACGGGUGAGUAACACGUGGGUAACCUACCUAUAAGACUGGGAUAACUUCGGGAAACCGGAGCUAAUACCGGAUAAUAUUUCGAACCGCAUGGUUCGAUAGUGAAAGAUGGCUUUGCUAUCACUUAUAGAUGGACCUGCGCCGUAUUAGCUAGUUGGUAAGGUAACGGCUUACCAAGGCAACGAUACGUAGCCGACCUGAGAGGGUGAUCGGCCACACUGGAACUGAGACACGGUCCAGACUCCUACGGGAGGCAGCAGUAGGGAAUCUUCCGCAAUGGGCGAAAGCCUGACGGAGCAACGCCGCGUGAGUGAUGAAGGUCUUCGGAUCGUAAAACUCUGUUAUUAGGGAAGAACAAACGUGUAAGUAACUGUGCACGUCUUGACGGUACCUAAUCAGAAAGCCACGGCUAACUACGUGCCAGCAGCCGCGGUAAUACGUAGGUGGCAAGCGUUAUCCGGAAUUAUUGGGCGUAAAGCGCGCGUAGGCGGUUUUUUAAGUCUGAUGUGAAAGCCCACGGCUCAACCGUGGAGGGUCAUUGGAAACUGGAAAACUUGAGUGCAGAAGAGGAAAGUGGAAUUCCAUGUGUAGCGGUGAAAUGCGCAGAGAUAUGGAGGAACACCAGUGGCGAAGGCGACUUUCUGGUCUGUAACUGACGCUGAUGUGCGAAAGCGUGGGGAUCAAACAGGAUUAGAUACCCUGGUAGUCCACGCCGUAAACGAUGAGUGCUAAGUGUUAGGGGGUUUCCGCCCCUUAGUGCUGCAGCUAACGCAUUAAGCACUCCGCCUGGGGAGUACGACCGCAAGGUUGAAACUCAAAGGAAUCGACGGGGACCCGCACAAGCGGUGGAGCAUGUGGUUUAAUUCGAAGCAACGCGAAGAACCUUACCAAAUCUUGACAUCCUUUGACCCUUCUAGAGAUAGAAGUUUCCCCUUCGGGGGACAAAGUGACAGGUGGUGCAUGGUUGUCGUCAGCUCGUGUCGUGAGAUGUUGGGUUAAGUCCCGCAACGAGCGCAACCCUUAAGCUUAGUUGCCAUCAUUAAGUUGGGCACUCUAAGUUGACUGCCGGUGACAAACCGGAGGAAGGUGGGGAUGACGUCAAAUCAUCAUGCCCCUUAUGAUUUGGGCUACACACGUGCUACAAUGGACAAUACAAAGGGCAGCGAAACCGCGAGGUCAAGCAAAUCCCAUAAAGUUGUUCUCAGUUCGGAUUGUAGUCUGCAACUCGACUACAUGAAGCUGGAAUCGCUAGUAAUCGUAGAUCAGCAUGCUACGGUGAAUACGUUCCCGGGUCU
rnacentral:rRNA from 1 species